ensembl:snoRNA small nucleolar RNA SNORA76
GCGCUGCUGUUGAGCCCCCGCUGUGCCUGUGUGUGGUGUGGGUUCAGACUGCAGCACCAGAGCACAUGCUUGUGCAUAAUGGGGGCCGACUGCUCCCCACCAGUGGCCUUUUUAGCCCUGAGCUACGUGG